UAUUGAUGCAAAUAGUUUAUGUGCAGGCAGUGAAUGGAAACACUAAACAGUGAUGCUUUUGACUACUGGGGUGGAGGGACGCAAGUCACUGUCACAGAUACAUCAAAAGCUCCCACUUCUCUGUUCCCCCUGAUGAACUGUGGAACACUGACUAACGACAAGUACAGCGUCGGUUGUCUUGCCACUGGGUUUACACCUUCCUAUCUCACAUUCAAAUGGACGGAUGCUAAAGGGACUGCCCUGACUGAUUUUGUCCAGUAUCCAGCAGUCCAGACAGGGGGAGCCUACACAGCUGUCAGUCAGCUCCAGGUGGCUAAGAAUGACUGGGAAAAUGCUAAGUCUUUUACUUGUGUCGUGGAACAUCCAGCAGGGAGCAAGACAGAAGUCAUUAAUAAACCAGUCAUCACGAGUCCCACAGUGUUUUUGCUGUCGCAGUCCAGUGGCUCCACCCAGUACCUGAUGUGUUUGAUUGAAGAUUUCCAACCCAAGACAAUCACUGUUACCUGGAAAAAGAAUGGCCAAAAGGUGGAGGGUCCAACCAGUAUUGUAGGUCAACAAAAGUCAUCAGGUCUUUUUGGAGCCAGCAGUGUACUGAAGGUCAGCAACACUGAGUGGGCAAGCAAUGCUAAGUACAAAUGUGAAGUCGGGCACAAGAGCAAACUCAUCAGCCAAGAGAUCUUCAAAUCAGAACCGUUGACACUGACACUGAACCCACCAAAAGUGAAAGAAAUAUUUGUGAACAAUCAAGUAGUGAUGGAAUGUAUCAUCAAUGGCACAGACACAAAAGAACUGAAUGAAGCCAUAAUCACCUGGAAGGUCAACAAACAGUCCAGGACAGAUGGAAUCAUUGAGGUGGUUAAAAAUGACCAACAAAUACCCAGGAAGGUCAGCAAUCUGAACAUGAACCGGAGGGACUGGGGCACAGUGAAUACUGUCCAGUGUUCUGCAGAGACAAAUGGCAUCACAAGAGGAAAUCAGGAACUUGUCAUCAACCAUGGAUGCAAAGAUCUUUCAGCGACUGUUCACAUUCUUCCAGAGAAGGACAUUGAGAGUCUACGCAGUGACAACAGCGAUGUGACCCUGGUCUGCCUGGUGGUCAGUCCAUCUCUUUGUGAUUUCUAUAUCAUGUGGAAGGAGAAAGUAGACACCACCUCUACACAAUAUGAAGGCAUUACUAGCCCACCUCAGAUAAACCCUGAAGGCAAAUACACCAGCACCAGCGUGUUCACCACCACCAGAGGGAAAUGGAACAACAAUGUGAUAUUCUCCUGCUCUGUCAUACAUUCUGGAUUGGAUGCUAUCACUGCGCCUACAGAGAUCCCUGUGUCGAAUGCCUUGGAGAAGAACCAGGACAGUUUCCCAGUUACAGACUGCUCCAAGAAGGACGAUGAAGAGGAUGAGUUCAGAAGCCUGUGGUCCACCUCCGCCACUUUCAUUAUCCUCUUCUUCCUUUCUAUAACCUACAGUGCAGUGAUCAGCCUGGUUAAGAUGGAGCAAUGAGUCAGACAAGAUGACUUCUGAGAUCAUGUCUUGAUCAGAAAUGUAAUGGACUGGGAUGGUUAUGACAUGGUGAUGUCGGUAGAAAUGUUUAGAAAACUGGUUCUUCUGAUCCUGGAUAAGAUUUCGAUUUUUCAUUCUUCCCCAUUGAGGAUUUCAGUUUGUUUUUCAAUUGAAUUGUUCAUAUUAUAGGUCACAUUAAGAGUGGGAAAGUUCUGACAUGAUU